GGGAGGCAAGAGGUGAGAGGUCAGAGGGGAGAGGACACACAUUAUCUGGCAGUGAUUAGAGGCUGAGAGAGAGAGAUCACGGUGUGUGUUUCAGCUAGACGUGUGUGGAUGUGAUGUGGACUAGCUGUGACUUUUCUGAGGUGUACUCUGAGGAACAGAAGGGUCCAGAUGAGAUCAGAGCUGGUUUUGAUCUGGAUAAAAGCUCCUCUCUUCACGAGGCCGGUGUUCCUUCAGCUCUGAGUCCCCAUAGCUCAGAGGCAAAUGUGGCUUCAGUUCCUAUGCAUGUGAAGAGUCGAUGACAAUGUGUCUGAGAUCAACCAACAGGCUCACCCUUCAUCUUAUGAACAAAGAAGAGAUUCGUUACAGAACCACCAACCACAACCGGACCAAGCAGCGUGGUAACCAGGAGCAGAGGGUUCUGGACUUCCCCAGCCUGGGCACAGGCUGGGGAAUAUCGCUGCCCCAGGGAAGAGCUGGAGGCACGGCAGCGCAACAGGGACUAGAGGCAGCCCCAAAAAUGUAUUGGGGGGAGCACACGGGGAGUGUGGCUAAGUCCGGUAGGAGACCUGAGCCAACUCCCUGUGCUUACCGUGGCGAAAGGUUGACCGAGGAGCCACCGCGGCCAGAGCCGCCACCGCGGACAGUUGCCCACCCAGACCCUCCCCUAUGGGAGACCCUCGCCUAAGAGAUUCGUUACAGUCAGAGAGACAGAUGCCUCUCUUCGGAAACUUCUGAGGAGGCAUAUACGAAGUGGAAGUGAUGAAAGCCACAAGAAGCCGGGUCCCACUGCAGCAAGGUCUCGGCUCUUUGCUCUCGCCUGCCGGCGAGCACAAGCUCCCCUCAUUUAGAAAAAGCACUGUACAUCCUGGAACCUGGGUUCCCCUUCUUUUUUAAUUAAAACCCGUGUGGAUUCGCCUCCCUCAGACCCCAGUAGAGAGAGAGGGGUUGUAGCGGGGAAAAAGUUCCAAGUUGUUCCACUUGACAGGUAUAUUUAAGUUCACCCAGUUUGACCAGAUGGAUCAUGUAUUUUGUAUAAGGCGUUAUUAUAUGGCGGAUGGGUGGGAGGCGGGGGGGGGGGCAUAUAUAUAUAUAUAUAUAUAUAUAUCAAACAAGUGGAGGGAAACGUAGAGUGGGAAAGAGGAAAAAGCAUGGGGAGGAGGUGGGGAUGAGGGAGCAGAGAUCAACAAGCACGGAGGAGGAGGCAACGGCGUGGAGAUCCUUCUGGGUGAUCUUCUUAGAUCUUGUGAGAGGAGCAUCGUCAAGAAUUCAUCCGGUCUUUAGCUGGCGUUAGAUAAGAUGUUUGAAAGACUUAAUUGUAAAUAUUAAUAAACAUAGCUAAUUAUGCUUAACUGAAAAA